rnacentral:tRNA from 1 species
AAUUUUGCGCCGGCGGAACGGGUUACAUUGAUGGUGUAAAGUAAAAGGCUUAGUCCUUCAAGAUUA